AAAUGAAUAGACGGGGGCCCGCACAAGCAGCGGAGCAUGUGGUUUAAUUCGAAGCAACGCGAAGAACCUUACCUGGGCUUGACAUGUGCCUGACCGCCGUGGAAACACGGCUUCCCUUCGGGGCAGGUUCACAGGUGGUGCAUGGCUGUCGUCAGCUCGUGUCGUGAGAUGUUGGGUUAAGUCCCGCAACGAGCGCAACCCUCGUCGUAUGUUGCCAGCAUUUAGUUGGGGACUCAUACGAGACUGCCGGUGACAAACCGGAGGAAGGCGGGGAUGACGUCAAGUCAUCAUGCCCCUUAUGUCCAGGGCUACACACGUGCUACAUUGGCGCGUACAGAGGGCAGCGAUACCGCGAGGUGGAGCGAAUCCCAAAAAGCGCGUCUCGGUUCGGAUUGUAGGCUGAAACCCGCCUACAUGAAGGUGGAGUUGCUAGUAAUCGUGGAUCAGCACGCCACGGUGAAUACGUUCCCGGGCCUUGUACACACCGCCCGU
rnacentral:rRNA from 1 species